rnacentral:rRNA from 1 species
GUCGACGAUGACGGUGGUGCUUGCACCACCUGAUUAGUGGCGAACGGGUGAGUAACACGUGAGUAACCUGCCCCCCACUUCGGGAUAACCUCGGGAAAUCGUGGCUAAUACCGGAUACGAGCACUCAUCGCAUGGUGGGUGCUGGAAAGAUUUAUCGGUGGGGGAUGGACUCGCGGCCUAUCAGUUUGUUGGUGAGGUGAUGGCUCACCAAGACGAUGACGGGUAGCCGGCCUGAGAGGGCGACCGGCCACACUGGGACUGAGACACGGCCCAGACUCCUACGGGAGGCAGCAGUGGGGAAUAUUGCACAAUGGGCGAAAGCCUGAUGCAGCGACGCCGCGUGGGGGAUGACGGCCUUCGGGUUGUAAACCCCUUUCAGUAGGGAAGAAGCGAGAGUGACGGUACCUGCAGAAGAAGCGCCGGCUAACUACGUGCCAGCAGCCGCGGUAAUACGUAGGGCGCAAGCGUUGUCCGGAAUUAUUGGGCGUAAAGAGCUUGUAGGUGGCUUGUCGCGUCUGCCGUGAAAACCCGAGGCUCAACCUCGGGCGUGCGGUGGGUACGGGCAGGCUAGAGUGUGGUAGGGGAGACUGGAACUCCUGGUGUAGCGGUGAAAUGCGCAGAUAUCAGGAAGAACACCGAUGGCGAAGGCAGGUCUCUGGGCCAUUACUGACACUGAGAAGCGAAAGCAUGGGUAGCGAACAGGAUUAGAUACCCUGGUAGUCCAUGCCGUAAACGUUGGGCACUAGGUGUGGGGGACA